rnacentral:rRNA from 1 species
UACGUAGGGUGCAAGCGUUAAUCGGAAUUACUGGGCGUAAAGCGUGCGCAGGCGGUGAUGUAAGACAGAUGUGAAAUCCCCGGGCUCAACCUGGGAACUGCAUUUGUGACUGCAUCGCUGGAGUGCGGCAGAGGGGGAUGGAAUUCCGCGUGUAGCAGUGAAAUGCGUAGAUAUGGCGGAGGAACACCGAUGGCGAAGGCAAUCCCCUGGGCCUGCACUGACGCUCAUGCACGAAAGCGUGGGGAGCAAACAGG